AAAGUCGUAACAAGUGAACCUGCGGAAGGAUCAUUAACACGUAUCCAACGUUAAACCCCUGUGAACCUUCAUUGUCCCAUUCCGUUAGCGGCAAUCCCUGGUAAAUCAUCGGGACCGGCAGCAGCGCGAGGCAAGUGGCUGGCAUGCGAAAGAAUGCCGCAGUAACGAUCGCUCGAGGCCGACACGGCCGGCGACCGGGUCACUGCCCUACACCUUUGCAUGAAAAUGGGCCUGCGCUUAAUUGUGCGGCCCGACCAACUGUUCGCAAUGGAUAUCUUGGUUCUC
rnacentral:misc_RNA from 1 species